CCCUUAGAUGUUCUGGGCCGCACGCGCGCUACACUGAUGCAUUCAACGAGCCUAUCCUUGACCGACAGGUCCGGGUAAUCUUUGAAUCUGCAUCGUGACGGGGAUAGAUUAUUGCAAUUAUUAAUCUUCAACGAGGAAUGCCUAGUAGGCGCAAGUCAUCAGCUUGCGUCGAUUACGUCCCUGCCCUUUGUACACACCGCCCGUCGCACCUACCGAUUGAAUGUUUCGGUGAAGAUUCCGGAUAGGACUUUUUUGAUUUAUUUCAAUUUUGUCUUAAAAGCUAUCUAAACCUCAACAUUUAGAGGAAGGUGAAGUCGUAACA
rnacentral:rRNA from 1 species